GGGUGAUUAUGUUAUAAAGGCUCGGGUGGGAGUAUUAAAGAGAAGCUGGUGAAAAAACAUAAGAAGAAGUUUCAGUGCCCAUAACGAUGGACACUAAGUUGUGUCUAUUACUCAUCCUUGGUGCACAUUUACUGACAGCAAACACUGAGGUAGUUGAGGAAGACAGUGGAGAAGGACAGCUACCCGUAUGCCCAUUGUCUGCAAGGUUCAAGAACUCAGAAA